UACGGGGGGGGCAAGCGUUGUUCGGAAGUACUGGGAGUAAAGGGCGCGUAGGCGGCCUGCUAAGUCGGAUGUGAAAUCCCUCGGCUCAACCGAGGAACUGCAUCCGAUACUGGCGGGCUUGAAUCCGGGAGAGGGAUGUGGAAUUCCAGGUGUAGCGGGGAAAUGCGUAGAUAUCUGGAGGAACACCGGUGGCGAAGGCGGCAUCCUGGACCGACACUGACGCUGAGGCGCGAAAUCUAGGGGAGCAAACGGG
rnacentral:rRNA from 1 species